rnacentral:lncRNA from 1 species
GGUUUCCAUUCAGCAAUAGACUGUAAACAAGCCUGAUGUUUUGCCUUCAUUUAGGAAGACAUAUCUCAAGACCUAGUAACAGUUUGCUGCUGGCUGCAAAUGACUCUGAUCAUAGAGUGAACUAGCCCUUCAAGUCUCUUUCUCACUGACAUCCCCACAUCUCGUAUGCUUCAGCAUCAAAUCAGUGGUCUUCCCUAAUGUUCCAAAUUCUUUCAUACCUCUGGGCUUCUGCAUUUACUGUCUCCUCUGCCUGAGACUUCUAUGAUCUCUUCUAUUCAUCUGGUGAAUUCAUACUCACUCUUUGAGAUUUAGACCAAACUUCAGCUCCACCAGGAAGUGAUUCAGGCCAGGCUAGGUGCCUAUCUUCUAAGCUUCGAUAACACUCCACUGCACCCUUCUAUGCACUUAACACACUUCAUGAUAGUCUUGGUUUACUUAUUUCUGUGGUACUUCUACAAGAUUCUUGAAAACAUGGACUUAUAUUAUUCAUCUUAUUUUGUUUAUAUAUUCUCAUCUCCUAGUUAGUACAAUUCCUGGCACAUAGGAGAGCUCAUAAAUGUUAUUUAAAUGAAUAAACAAAUAAUUGAAUUAUUAGUAAAAAGCAGGCAAAUUAAGUAGAUUUCUCUACAUUGUCACUUGAAGAUCUUCCCAAAGAACAAAAAUACCUGAAAAGCCACCAUUAGAGAUUUACUAUAGAUUAUUUUGACCUGGCAGUAAAAUUGCAGCAUGGCCUUGAACAAUGCUGGCUUUCUUAGCUAAUAGUUUUUCAUCACAUUAAAGUACACUACAACCAUCCAUCUCCUCCAGAAACCUAAGAGUAGGGUUACAAAAGAACAUAAAAGGUAAGUUCCAAUAAGAGACAAUUCAUGUCUUAAAUUUACAGAAUGGAAUAAUGCUCAAGACAGGGAAGGUCUAAAUAAGUGAUUAGCACACCGUUUUGGGGAGCAUUCAGACUUGAGUUUGAAUCCUAGUUCUACCACUCAAUAGCUAUGAGAUUUGGGAAAAUGUACUUUCUUACUCCUGCAUCAAUUUCUUCAUCUGGAAAAUGGGAAUAUUAACAUCCAAAUCAUAAGAUUAAAUGAGAUAACAUAUAAAAUGCUUUUCAGGAGUUCCCAGGCUCAGGGUCAAAUCGGAGCUGUAGCUGCCAGCCUACGCCAGAGCCACGGCAACACAGGAUCCGAGCCGUAUCUGCAACCUACACCACAGCUCAUGGCAACGUUGGAUCCUUAACCCACUGAGCAAGGGCAGGGACUGAACCCACAACCUCAUGGUUCCUAGUCGGAUUCGUUAACCACUGCGCCAUGACGGGAACUCCUGCACCACUUAUUGAAGAGACUGUCUUUCCUCCACUGAGACUGUCUGUCCUUGCCUCCUUUGUCAUGGAUUAGUUAACCAUAGCACACAGGUUUAUUUUCAGGCUUUCUAUCCUGUCCCAUUGAUCUAUAUUUCUGUUUUUGUGCCAGUACCAUACUGUUUUGAUGACUGUAGCUUUGUAGUAUAGUCUUGAGUCAGGAAGCCUGCUUCCUCCAGUUCUGCUUUUCUUUUUCAAUAUUGCUUUAGCUAUUUUGGAUUUUUUGUGUUUCCAUACAAAUUUUUUUAUUCAUGUAUUUAUUAAAGUAUAGUUGAUUUGCAAUGUUGUGCCAAUUCUGCUGUACAGCAAAGUGACCCAGUCAUGCAUAGCUAUACAUUCCCUUUCUUCUCUCUCUCUUUUUUUUUCUAUCUUUUUGCCUUUUCUAGGGCCAAUUCCUGCAGCAUAUGGAGGUUCCAAGGCUAGGGGACUAAUAAGAGCUGUAGCCACCGGCCUACGCCACAGCCACAGCAACACGGGAUCCAAGUCACGUCUACAAACUACACCACAACUCAUGGAAACACCGGAUCCUUAUCCCACUGAGCAAGGCCAGGGAUUGAACCCGAAACCUCAUGGUUCUUAGUCAGAUUCGUUAUCCAUUGAGCCACGACAGGAACUCCUUAUCUUAUCUUCCACCAUGGUCCAUCCCAAGAGAUUGGAUAUAGUUCCCUGUGCUAUGCAGCAGAACCUCAUUGCUUAUCCAUGCCAUAUAAAUUUUAAAAUGUCCUGUUCUAGUUCUGUGAAGAAUGGCAUUGGAUUAAGAAGAUGUGGUGCAUAUAUACAAUGGAAUACUACUUGGCCAUAAAAAAAGAACAAAGUAGAGUUCCCACUGUGGCUCAGUGAUAAUGAACCUCACUAGCAUCCAUGAGGUUCCAAGUUUGAUCCCUGGCCUCCCUCAGUGGGUUAAGGAUCUAGCACAGACUGGGCUCGGAUCCUGAAUUGCUGUGGCUCUAGCGUAGGCUGGCCACCGCAGCUCCAAUUUGAUUCCUAGCCUAGAAACUUCCAUAUGCUGCACAUGUAGCCCUAAAAAGCAAAAGAAAAAAGAAAAAAAAAAAA